CUCCAUUUUACUCCUCUUUCAAAAUUUAAUAAAACCCUAAAACGUAACAACCCUGAAAACCUAGUUACCCUUCUUACUUCCUUCUCUCGCCACAGCUUCUCACCCUUUCAUCUUCAUCUCUGCAAUCCUCACUGUAGGAGAAAAACCUGUCCGUGAAUCCACUUUUGGAGCGAGCAUUGUGCACGCCUACCCUUGCCUGCAUCUGUGAGUUGAUUUUUGGUUGCUGCUGAGAGUUUUAGAGUUUUAGGGGAGGAUUUGGUGAAGUAUGGAACACUUAUUCAUUCAAUCCUUCUGUUUUUAUUUUUUUGUUUUCUUUUUAUGUUAAGUCCACUGCUAUAUUCUUCAGCAAUUGGGUUUGAAGAGCCGAGGAACAGGGUUGCAAUUUUCAUCCCGGUUUAGUGCUGAAAGAGGGCUUUGUCUCUACAUAAGAAAGCAGUAUGCCGCACAGAACACGACCCAUGACAGCACUCUUGCUGUUCACUGCACUAAAUACAGUUUUGUGUGCAACCAUUACUCCAGUCUAUGAUUUUGUUUGCUUUCUUCCGUACUGGGAAAGAAGGAGGGAAAGGCGUCGCCAGCAACGAGAAGCUACUAUAGCUAACAGUACAAAUUAGCCAUGACAGCAUUUAAUUGGAGAACCUUUCCGUAGUAAGAUUUUUAUUGUCCUUUCUUG